rnacentral:rRNA from 1 species
GUGCAGCAGUCGCGAAAACUUUACAAUGCGGGAAACCGCGAUAAGGGGACACCGAGUGCCAGCAUAUUAUGUUGGCUGUCCACAUGUGUAAACGGCAUGUGUCAGCAAGGGCCGGGCAAGACCGGUGCCAGCCGCCGCGGUAACACCGGCGGCCCGAGUGGUAAUCACUUUUAUUGGGUCUAAAGGGUCCGUAGCCGGUUUGAUCAGUUCUUCGGGAAAUCUGACAGCUCAACUGUUAGGCUUCCGGGGAAUACUGUCAGACUUGGGACCGGGAGAGGUAAGAGGUACUACAGGGGUAGGAGUGAAAUCUUGUAAUCCCUGUGGGACCACCAGUGGCGAAGGCGUCUUACCAGAACGGGUCCGACGGUGAGGGACGAAAGCUGGGGGCACGAACCGGAUUAGAUACCCGUGUAGU